rnacentral:rRNA from 1 species
GAUGAACGCUGGCGGCGUGCUUAACACAUGCAAGUCGAACGGAAAGGCUCCUGCUUGCAGGGGUACUCGAGUGGCGAACGGGUGAGUAACACGUGGGUGAUCUGCCCUGCACUUCGGGAUAAGCCUGGGAAACUGGGUCUAAUACCGGAUAGGACGAUGGUUUGGAUGCCAUUGUGGAAAGUUUUUCGGUGUGGGAUGAGUUCGCGGCCUAUCAGCUUGUUGGUGGGGUAAUGGCGUACCAAGGCGUCGACGGGUAGCCGGCCUGAGAGGGUGUACGGCCACAUUGGGACUGAGAGACGGCCCAGACUCCUACGGGAGGCAGCAGUGGGGAAUGUUGCACAAUGGGCGCAAGCCUGAUGCAGCGACGCCGCGUGGGUGAUGACGGCCUUCGGGUUGUAAACACAUUUCGCUAGGGACGAAGCGUUUUGUGACGGUACCUGGAGAAGAAGCAACGGCUAACUACGUG